GAGUUUGAUCCUGGCUCAGAUUGAACGCUAGCGGCAGGCCUAACACAUGCAAGUCGAGCGGAUGAAGGGAGCUUGCUCCUGGAUUCAGCGGCGGACGGGUGAGUAAUGCCUAGGAAUCUGCCUGGUAGUGGGGGAUAACGUCCGGAAACGGGCGCUAAUACCGCAUACGUCCUGAGGGAGAAAGUGGGGGAUCUUCGGACCUCACGCUAUCAGAUGAGCCUAGGUCGGAUUAGCUAGUUGGUGGGGUAAAGGCUACCUAGGCGACGAUCCGUAACUGGUCUGAGAGGAUGAUCAGUCACACUGGAACUGAGACACGGUCCAGACUCCUACGGGAGGCAGCAGUGGGGAAUAUUGGACAAUGGGCGAAAGCCUGAUCCAGCCAUGCCGCGUGUGUGAAGAAGGUCUUCGGAUUGUAAAG
rnacentral:rRNA from 1 species